rnacentral:lncRNA from 1 species
GCUUUGUCCAAGGAGGCUGCGAAUGGCUGCGUCUCCCACAGCCUGUCUCCUCUGCUCCGGAGAGCCCAGAUCUCCAUGCAGGGUCAAAAGCAAAGGCAGGGGAAAUGCUGCGUGUGCUUGGUGACAAACACAUCGUUCUCAAAGAAUUAAAGAAUGCAUGUGUAGGAAAUGUUAUCGUAGGGUGGCACUAGUGGCAAGGGGGCACAGUCACGGAUGUCGCUGCCAUCAGGUCUGAGUUGGCCUCUGCACCCUCUGGAAGGACUGGAAAGCAUAUCUGAAAGGAGUCAGCAUCCACAGGCCAACAUGGCAGCUCCACAUGUGACGUCAUCAGGCCACUAAAGGGAAUGAGAAGGUGCCACAGAGACGGACAGAAGAGAAUAGAAAAGAUAACAGCAAACAGCUACAGAGUUGGUGGCUGGACUUGGCGUUUUUCUGGAAGAUCUGGAAGUCUGAAACCCAGGAGUUUGCAAGGCUGGUACUUGAUGGAGAAUGGGAAAGGGUCCCUGUCCCAUAUUUCUCUCUGGUGUCUGCUGGCUGCUGACAAUCCUAGCACCCCUUUGAUCUGUACCCUCAACAUUCCAGCAUCCCUACAUCUGCACUGUGGCCUUCUCUGUGCCAAAGCUUUCUCUUCUUUCCCUUGCAAAUACAACUGCUAAGGCCCACACUUAGCCCAGGAUGACCUCAUCCAGAGACUCUUGGCUUUAGAACAUUGGGAAGAUCCUAUUUCUAAGUGAGUUCAUGUUCACACAUAUUUGGGUUUAGUAUGUGAACAUCUUCUUUUGGAGAGAAACACAGUUCAACCUACUAUGAAGACUCAACGAAUGCCAUUGGGAAAAGCAUGGGCUACUGCUACAACCAAGGAUAGUCACUGCCAGCGGAAGAUGAGGCAACAGCAAUGCAAUCUUAGAGCUUAUUUUAGAGGACAAUGGUCUCAUAGAAAGUCUGUUUGUGUUGGACAUAGAGGUACUAAGAAUGAAGGACUCCAACCCUGGCAUUUGAAUGUCUGAGAACUCCUGAGAUAUCCUCCUGAUAGUCUACUCCGCCCACUAACAUCUGUGGAUCCCAGUAGGAAAGACUUUUGUAUGCUGGCUGGUAUUUCAAAUGCUGCAGCUCCUAGCCUGCAGUUCAUGGAGUUGCCCAACAUAGCUCCCCAAAAAGAACUCCCAAAAAGUCCAACAAAACAGACAAAAGCAAGCUAACCCUACCUUGUCCCUCUUUGUUCUUCAAAGUCCUAUGUGGUCUUGUCUUUCUGGGAAUCCCACCUGCUGUGAGUUCUCAAUAAACUUUC